UAAAAUAAAAUUGCAGCAUGCUUGACACAAAGAAACUAAUUUUGUGAAUUAUUUGUAUCGUUCCAAUUUUUAUUGGGUGUAUAUCCUAAACAUGAGGUGUGCAGUACAGAAAUGCAAGAGUAUAACGUUGAUAUAUAACCAUCCUAUUAAUUUCUGAUUUGCUACAAAAAAAUCUAGAUUGGUAAAAAGCCACAAACUAACAUACCCUGGAAGCACCAGACAUUUAAUAUAUCCUUUCUUCUUAAUUUACAGGAUCUAUACAAAUGGACAACAGUAGAUCCAUCAUUUGAUCAGAUAGAAAAUGAAGGAAGUGUGUGGAAACAACUACACGAAGAUGUGUUACCUCAAGGCCACUUAUCUCUGCAUAACCCAUUUUCUUCAGGGGCGAACUUUAUCAGUAAACUGAAUUUAAAGAAAGAGAUAAUUGAUUCAAAUGUGGUAAGCAAAUCAAUGCCCAUUGCUGGGUACUAAAUAAAUACAAGCAGACCAUACAGGCAAAAGUAUGAAUCUUUACAGGUAACUUUUUUCCAGAAUGGGAAGACGGCUUGGAAUAGAUCAGAAUUCAACGACUGAAAUAUUCAGAGUAGGUACUAUGACAAAUACGAUCGUCUGGCAAUUGAAUUUUUGCUUACCUUAUCUUUAGUCUCUGCCAAAUACGAGAGUUGUAC
rnacentral:lncRNA from 1 species